rnacentral:rRNA from 1 species
CCUACGGGUGGCAGCAGUGAGGAAUUUUCCGCAAUGGAGGCAACUCUGACGGAGCAACGCCGCGUGCAGGAGGAAGGUCUUCGGAUCGUAAACUGCUUUUCUCGGGGACGAGCAAGGACGGUACCCGAGGAAUCAGCCCCGGCUAACUACGUGCCAGCAGCCGCGGUAAUACGUAGGGGGCGAGCGUUGUCCGGAGUUACUGGGCGUAAAGGGCACGCAGGCGGUCGCUUACGUUUGGGGUUACAGCUCCCGGCUUAACCGGGAGAGCGCCUUGAACACGGGGCGACUUGAGGGCCAGAGAGGGACACAGAAUUCCGGGUGUAGUGGUGAAAUGCGUAGAUAUCCGGAGGAAUACCAAAGGCGAAGGCAGUGUCCUGGCUGGUUUCUGACGCUGAGGUGCGAAAGCUAGGGGAGCGAACGGGAUUAGAUACCCCUGUAGUC